UUCCCAAAAACAAAGAAAAGCCAUGUUCUUUGCAAAAGGUUUCUUAUUUCCUUUUUUGGGUCAGACUCAUACAUACUGUUCUUUGCAAAAAGCUUGAACUGCUCAGUUUUCGAUUUUUCUAUUUGGCUUCAAAGGAAAUUCAGCCUCAAGUUUUGUACUUUCCAGUGCUCAGGUUGACACUACCAUUACACGGUUUACAAUUUGCUUGGAAAUUGGCAAUUCUUGCUGGAGAAGUUCUGUCAUGUACGUUAGAUGUGCUCGUCUUCGAAUUUGUAGGUUCUCAUGGUUGAGCUUCAUUUUUGCAUUUGUCAGCCUGGCAUCUCGAGUACAGAAAACACUGCAAGGUUCAUCUGACGAUAUUGGAUGGUUGCCGCGCGCUCUUGGCAUGCCUGGUGUGGAGGAUGGUACAGCAAGAUUCUUGGAAUUGCUUGCAGGAAUAAGGCCUCUAUGGCAAUCACGGCAUCGUAUACUUCGUUGGAACAAAGAAAUUCUUUUCGAAGAUGGAUCUAGCUCGUCAUAUUGCAAACAUUCAGAGUGAGGCAUCUGUUGAGCACAAUGCAUGGGAACUCAAGCAAUACAUUGAGGAGUUUUACUGGGAAUCCGGUAAGCGUGUGAUGCUGCUGGGCAAAGCAAGGAAGGUGAGAAGCCUGUAUUCCAACGAAGUAUAAUGCCGACAAAGCUUAUGCAUGAUACAUUCAUGGCUUUUUUCUUUCCUUCUUUAUUUUAGCUCGCGCAUCUUGUUCCAUUACACAUAGAUUGAGUUAGGGGCAAAAUCUUUAUGAAAUACUGUUACCUAACAAUCACGUUUAUUCCACAAUACCAAAUAUCCUUUUCUCAUGAAACUAAAAUGUACAUAAAUGUUGGAUGAAAAACCGUAUCAU